rnacentral:rRNA from 1 species
AUUGAACGCUGGCGGCAGGCCUAACACAUGCAAGUCGAACGAGUGGCGGACGGGUGAGUAAUGUCUGGGAAACUGCCCGAUGGAGGGGGAUAACUACUGGAAACGGUAGCUAAUACCGCAUACCAUCGGAUGUGCCCAGAUGGGAUUAGCUAGUAGGUGGGGUAACGGCUCACCUAGGCGACGAUCCCUAGCUGUUUUGAGAGGAUGACCAGCCACGCUGGACCUGAGACCCGGUCCAUAUUCCGACGGGAGGCAGCAGUGGGGAAUAUUGCACAAUGGGCGCAAGCCUGAUGCAGCCAUGCCGCGUGUAUGAAGAAGGCCUUCGGGUUGUAAACCGCUUUCAGCCAUGACGCGGUAGUGGCAGAAGAAGCACCGGCUAACUACGUGCCAGCAGCCGCGGUAAUUC